AACAAGUACCGUGAUGGAAAGGUGAAAAGUCCCCCUGUUAGGGGGAGUGAAAUAGAACCUGAAACCGAAAGCCUACAAACAGUUGGAGGGCUAACAGUGAGUUGAGCGCUGUAGAAAUACAGAUGUUCCUCACUAUGCCUGACAGCGUGCCUCUUGGAGAAUGAGCCUGCGAGUUAAUCUCAGUGGCAAGGUUAAGGGAGUUACACCCGUAGCCGUAGCGAAAGCGAGUCUGAAUAGGGCGUAUAGUCGCUGGGAUUAGGCCCGAAACCGGGUGAGCUACCCAUGGGCAGGGUGAAGCGAGUCUAAUCACUCGUGGAGGCCCGAACUUACUAACGUUGCAAAGUUAGAAGAUGACCUGUGGGUAGAGGUGAUAUGCCAAACGAACUCGGAGAUAGCUGGUUCUCCCCG
rnacentral:rRNA from 1 species